rnacentral:pre_miRNA from 1 species
AGUGGGAUAGCUGGGUCAAAUGGUGGUUCCAUUCCCAGUUUUCUGAGGAAUCUCCAACCCCUUUUCCAUAAUGGUUGCACCCAUUUGCAUUCCCACCAGUAGU